rnacentral:rRNA from 1 species
CUCACCUACGGGAGGCAGCAGUGGGGAAUAUUGGACAAUGGGGGGAACCCUGAUCCAGCGAUGCCGCGUGAGUGAAGAAGUAUUUCGGUAUGUAAAGCUCUAUCAGCAGGGAAGAAUAAUGACGGUACCUGACUAAGAAGCCCCGGCUAACUACGUGCCAGCAGCCGCGGUAAUACGUAGGGGGCAAGCGCUAUCCGGAUUUACUGUGUGUAAAGGGAGCGUAGACGGCUGUGCAAUUCUGAAGUGAAUUGCCGGGGCCCAACCCCGGAACUGCUUUGGAAACUGUACAGCUAGAGUGCAGGCGG